AAUAAAAUUAAAUAAAAAAAUAACUAUAUGAAGGAACGAUUAGUACUGCUAGGAAGAAAAAAAAUAAGCUCUCUACCAUAAUUUAAAGUCUAUUAUUAUUUUCUUUCUUUUUCUUUCUCCUAUUUCCCUUCUUCUCAU
rnacentral:ribozyme from 12 species